GGGGAAGGCCCGUGGGGAUGCUCCUACCCGGGGCGCGGGGCUGCUGUCCCCACCAUCCCUGUGUCCCCUCGGUGGCAGCAGGACUCUGCCAUCCCC
ensembl:miRNA gga-mir-1652 gga-mir-1652